ACGUCAGAGAGAUAAAGAGACGAAUGCACUCUUUGCUUUCUCCAUUCUUCUAUCUUCAUUCUUCUAUUGCCCAUUUUUUCUCUCCCGAGUCAUGUCACGUUAUUUCAUUUCUUCUCUGGACAUUUAAAUUUUCUCUCUUUCUCAAAUUCCCUUAUCUCUGCUCAAGUUUUUUCUUUGAAGAGAGAUCAGAAUGGCUGUGGCCAUGGCUGCAUGCAGUCUCGGACUUCACUUGGGUCCUGAUCUCAGCUUGAGAGCCUUGGAAAAACCCAUUUGCAGUGCCCCUUUCUUGAAGACUUCCUCUAUCUCUGAUGCUACUAAACUAUGUUACAUUACUCACAAAACAAGAUUACCAUCUUCAGGAAUAACAAUGAUCCCUCGAGCAACAACUGUUACUGGUGUGGAGGAUGGAAAUCAAGGUGAGGCCGAUACAAUUCCAACUCCUGUUGUUAUAAUUGAUCAAGACUCUGAUCCUGAUGCAACUGUGGUGGAGAUAACAUUUGGUGAUCGCCUCGGGGCUCUUCUGGACACUAUGAAUGCAUUAAAGAACUUAGGUCUCAAUGUUGUUAAGGCAAAUGUCUUUCUGGAUUCCUCUGGGAAGCACAACAAGUUCUCCAUCACAAAAGCCGAUACAGGUAGAAAAGUGGAAGAUCCAGAGUUGUUAGAGGCAAUCCGUUUGACAAUUUUAAAUAAUAUGAUUCAGUAUCACCCGGAAUCAAGCGCCCAAUUAGCUUUGGGAGCAGCUUUUGGGCUUCUGCCUCCGCAGCAGCAGGUUGAUGUGGACAUAGCAACCCACAUAACCAUCUCUGAUGACGGCCCAGAUCGAAGUUUACUGUAUGUGGAAACAGCUGAUCGACCUGGAUUACUGGUGGAUCUUGUAAAGAUUACUACUGACAUUAACAUUUCUGUUGAAUCUGGAGAAUUUGACACCGAGGGGCUCUUGGCUAAGGCAAAGUUUCAUGUGAGCUACAAGGGUAAAGCCAUCAUCAAGCCUCUGCAGCAGGUUCUUGUUAACAGCUUGAGAUAUUUCUUGAGGCGACCUACAACUGAGGAAGCCAGCUUUUGAAUACAAAGUGCAACACAUCCACAUCGUAUUUGCUUUUGGAACAUAACUACGAUGGAAUUGCAGAAUAGAGAAAAAAAAGGGAGUGUCAAAAAUCGCGCGGAUCAACAAAAAUCACUGGCGAAGAAGAGAAGAAGCAAUGAGAGGGGGCAGAUUUGUGAAGAUUCUUAACGCACCAGAUGUCUUGGGCCCAUGAGAAUUGAGUCCAAUGUGGGACCGUAUCUCUAACUGGGUCCAAUUGGGCCACUUCAGCCACAAUGGCCCCACAACCAGCAUCAUCUCUGGCCAUGUUAUGAACGAAUCCGCACAGGGCCCUCAUGAGGCCCGCACCACUCUUUCCUUUCAUAUGGAGACCGUACAAAAAAUAUAGCCCAAAGGGCCUAAACACAUCAGGGAAAGAAGGUAGCCUUAGACAUGGCAUCAAUUGGUCCAGUAACCUUGUCACUAGGCAGCCCGCACGUGCCAGUGGGGACACCCCCUUCACUUCCAAUUUAAACACGUGCUUGGUGUUCCAUACACUUAAUAUGGCCAAGCUUGGAGGAAUUAUGCCCCUUUUUGGGUCCCAUUUGGGUAGGUACUUUUUGGGGAUGGCCAUGAAUGUGCCCAAAUUUAGCUUGUUAGACAAAAUUAAUUCUAUGUCCUUAGGAAAAAAUUCUGAAUUGACAAACAUGUGCUUAUACAUGGUCCCCGCUAGGCGUGGGGGAAGACCAACCACCGCAAUGCCAGAGCUCAUUGGUUUGUAGUGGGCAUGAACAGGUUGCACUAGCAUGUUUAGACUCUUGGCUCUUGAGUACCCACAUUUUUUUGUGAACAAAUUUAUGGAAGCCUCAUUGGUACAUUCAGUUGCCAUGUAUGCAUAAUUAGCACCCUUUUGCUUGCACCACUCUUCUAAAUGUUCAAUUAGUUUUGUCCCAAUGCCAAGUCUCCUGCAUAUAUAUGUCAAUUGUCAACCCAAGAUUUUAACCUCUUUUUUGUCUUUUCCUGUAUUGAGAUAUUUUAUAGCUAUUGGGUUUUGUUUUCUCACACUCUAAAAAAACAAUAGAUAUUGAUUAAAAGUGAUCUAAUAGGAAUUAGAAUUUUGCAAGUGAAUAGAAAAGUAGACGCAUGUGGAUCAUGCUAUCUAGAAUUUAAUACCAAAUUCAGUGAAAUAGCUGAACUUGAGAAUAAAAUAUCGUGUCCAAAACUGCUAGUUUCUUAAUAAAGUACCUUCAGUGGAUACACGUGUCAAAUGGCACGCUAGCUUUUCCUAUGGCUUUUCAGUUUUCACCCUUGCCAUGAUAUACGAGAGAAACAUUACCUUUCCUUUUUUAUUUUUCUUAGAAUCUAAUGCUCCUCAGUCCUCACCACCCCUUUUUUAUAUUUUUCUAUUUCCCUUGUUAAAAAUAUGAGAAUAAGAUUUGAAACAAAAUGUAGGGAGAGAAAUGGAGGAAGACAGGAAUCAACAGUGGCAUACAGAACUUGAAGCUAAACAAUUUGUCAACCCCUAACUGUUGUGGAAUAUGAAAAGAGAAGAACUGUUAUGACUGUUCAUUUCAUGCUUUUGUUUUUAUCUAAAGUGCAUGCAUAUCAAGGAACUAUACGGUCACUUGUCUAUUAUAUCGUUUUCUUGAUGCUUUUAGGCAAUGUGCAGAAUGCAGAAACAUGCAAGCAGAAUGAAAUAUAUCAAUAUUAAACCUGUGUGGCGGUGAAACCCUGAGCCCCAACAGAUAUGCCAGCUUUAAAUCAACCGAAUUCCCUCUUGUAACUAUUUUUAUACACCCUCUUAUCACCCCAACAACUUGUCCUCCAUAUUCUGCAACCUGUUCAGAACAAACAUUACAUUAAUUAGCCUAAAAGUUCAGGCGUUAUACUAAUUGUCUUAAAUUUCAACUUAUAAAACCAUAAAUAUAUAAUGAUUCAGCAAUCGAAGAAGUACGUUUUACCAAUAUAGUGAUCUAAUUAUAAUGUUUUCUUGUUACAUAUUUCUAGAUAACAUUAAACCGGAAAUAGUGGGAAAUUAAAGCUAGAGUUGUUGGUAGUAACCAGCAUGACAUGCAAAGGAAAGUGACGGAUACGGCAUAAGGGAUCGCCCAUGAGGUCUACAACAAGAGAUGACUUUCCUCUCUGCCCAACUUCACAAAGCCUCUCCAUCUUCUCAAUUGCCACCUUGUGCCUCUCUUCAUCAUACUCUCUUACCACCACCAAUGCCUUCAGAGACAUAGCAUAUAGAAACAACAAUUAAUAAUGGCCCUUGCGUCUUCCGGGUUGUGCUAUUUUUUCUUCAUACUCGUAUGUAUACACACCUCAAGAAUAAGGUGACGUGGCACUUCCCCAACAUUGAGCACAUUUGAUUUUUCUUUUGUGAAUAUGAAUAAAACAAAUUCAUUCUGUUGUUUUU